rnacentral:rRNA from 1 species
GGGAUAACUCCGGGAAACCGGGGCUAAUACCGGAUGGUUGUUUGAACCGCAUGGUUCAAACAUAAAAGGUGGCUUCGGCUACCACUUACAGAUGGACCCGCGGCGCAUUAGCUAGUUGGUGAGGUAACGGCUCACCAAGGCAACGAUGCGUAGCCGACCUGAGAGGGUGAUCGGCCACACUGGGACUGAGACACGGCCCAGACUCCUACGGGAGGCAGCAGUAGGGAAUCUUCCGCAAUGGACGAAAGUCUGACGGAGCAACGCCGCGUGAGUGAUGAAGGUUUUCGGAUCGUAAAGCUCUGUUGUUAGGGAAGAACAAGUACCGUUCGAAUAGGGCGGUACCUUGACGGUACCUAACCAGAAAGCCACGGCUAACUACGUGCCAGCAGCCGCGGUAAUACGUAGGUGGCAAGCGUUGUCCGGAAUUAUUGGGCGUAAAGGGCUCGCAGGCGGUUUCUUAAGUCUGAUGUGAAAGCCCCCGGCUCAACCGGGGAGGGUCAUUGGAAACUGGGGAACUUGAGUGCAGAAGAGGAGAGUGGAAUUCCACGUGUAGCGGUGAAAUGCGUAGAGAUGUGGAGGAACACCAGUGGCGAAGGCGACUCUCUGGUCUGUAACUGACGCUGAGGAGCGAAAGCGUGGGGAGCGAACAGGAUUAGAUACCCCUGGUAGUCCACGCCGUAAACGAUGAGUGCUAAGUGUUA